AGGGCUGGGUUCUGCCUGGAUUUGGGUUAAGAUUUAAAUUAGACUCAACCACCUGGGGGGCAGGGAGGGGACCCCGGCCUUGUUUGGGACAGGGGUGGACCUGUGCUGGGAGCUAUCUUGACAUGACUGGCCUUCCAGAAAGAUCCAACCUUUUCUGAGCACUGACCCUCCUCCCUGGGCUCCACCUUCUCAGGACUGAGCUUGUCCCCUCCGUGGGCGCCUCAGGGCAGAGGGCUCGUGGCCCAUCAACAGGUGUGGGGCGAGGUGCACCUUUCCCAAACCUGCCAGGCAGGGAGGGUCCUGGAAAGGCAGGACACGGGUGGAGUUAGAACCUGGGAAGGUCAGGCAGAUGCUCCAGUGCUGUUGAAGAAUGAAUGAAUGAAUGACAGGUUUGACCCCAUAGAAAUGAAAAACUUCUCCAUACAGAAAACGAAGGAUCAGAAAAGUCCAUAAAGGAAGAAGAGGGAGGCUGCUCUGUGGCUGUUUCUGGCCCUGCAGCUCCGGGACGCUGGGCCCUGCGUUCCUGUGGAAGGGAUUUGGGCUUGCCUUCCUGGAGUGUGGCGCUGCAGUGGACACUGGCUUUACCUUACAGCCAGCAAGCCCUCAAGAUCGCCAGGAGCCAGCGAGCAAAGGAUGCCUGGGCCACCGCUGGAAAGAGGCUCUGAACAACCAGCAAGAACCAGUAGAAACAUCUGUCUCAAAGCUCCAGAAAACAGUUAAAGGAUGCAGGAACAAGCAAACACCAAAUCAAGAAAAAGGCAUCUUAAUGCGGUGGGAUCUCAUGGUGCCCUGGCUGGCCCUUCCUCACCCCUCACCGGCUCACUGUGGGCUGGCCUGGGUCCCGUCCCCUUUGCAGAUGCCUGUGGGAGCAGAGUAACCCUGCACACACAUUGGAGCAUGCGUGUCUGGCCCAGUCUGCGGGUGGCCUGGGGACUCACUGUCCCAGAACCUGCCCUGGGUGUGGAAGGUGGCUCACCGAGCUGUCCUAGAGAACACCGAGGGAGAGCAGGCAAGUGGCUGCCUGGGGCAGGGGUUUGCUGGCUAUAGGACAUGCAAUGCAGUGCCCAGGGCCGUGAGGAAACCGUUUCCUAGGGGAGAGGGGAAUUGCUAGGGCCACAUAUGCAUGCCCAAGACAAGAUGUGGGAAGAAAUGACCAGGGUGGUCCCUGUGCUUUGGCCUGGAGCUGUUCUCUAAACUCAUUGUAAGGAUAAGUCCCAAAG